rnacentral:misc_RNA from 1 species
GAUGAAGAACGUAGCGAAAUGCGAUACGUAAUGUGAAUUGCAGAAUUCAGUGAAUCAUCGAAUCUUUGAACGCAUAUUGCGCUCUUUGGUAUUCCGAAGAGCAUGCUUGUUUGAGUAUCAGUAAACACCUCAACCUCUUCUUGAUUUUUCAAAAGGAGGGUGGACUUGAGCUAUCCCAACAACCUUUACCGGUCGGCGGGCGGCUUGAAAUGCAGGUGCAGCUGGACUUUUAUCUGAGCUAAAAGCAUAUCUAUUUAGUCCUCGUCAAUCAGGAUUAUUACUUUUGCUGCAGCUAACAUAAAGGAUAAUUGUCCUCUUUGCUGACUGAUGCAGGAUUUUACGACACUUUAUGUGUUGUUCAACUCGAUCUCAAAUCAAGUAAGACUACCCGCUGAACUUAAGCAUAUCAAUAAGCGGAGGA